rnacentral:rRNA from 1 species
AUGCAAGUCGAGCGAGAAGUUCCUUCGGGAAUGAGUACAGCGGCGGACGGGUGAGUAACACGUAAGAAUCUGCCCUGUAGUGAAGGAUACCUUCGAGAAAUUGAAGUUAAUACUGCAUAAGUCCUUCGGGAGAAAAGCGUCUUUUAUGUCGCUGCUACGGGAUGAGCUUGCGGACUAUCAGCUUGUUGGUGGGGUAAAGGCCUACCAAGGCUAUGACGGUUAACCGGCCUGAGAGGGUGUACGGUCACACAGGCACUGAGAUACGGGCCUGACUCCUACGGGAGGCAGCAGUGGGGAAUAUUGCGCAAUGGGCGAAAGCCUGACGCAGCGACGCCGCGUGGAGGAUGAAGGUCUUCGGAUUGUAAACUCCUGUCAGGUGGGAAGAAAAGAUUUAUUUUUAAUAGAGAUAGAUUAUGACGGUACCAUCAGAGGAAGCACCGGCUAACUUCGUGCCAGCAGCCGCGGUAAUACGAAGGGUGCAAGCGUUAUUCGGAAUCACUGGGCGUAAAGGGUGCGUAGGCGGUAUGUUAAGUUUGUCGUUAAAGACUCUAGCCUAACUGGAGGGUUGCGAUGAAAACUGGCGUGCUAGAGGAUGAGAGAGAGAAGUGGAAUUCCUGGAGUAGCGGUAAAAUGCGUG